GCUGUGACUUCAAGCUCACUUGCCUGGUAGCUGUCAGAACAAUCUUGGAGGCUUGUUUGCAUUUGGGGGCACUACAGUUCAAAACCUACAAGGCCCUUGCACCAGCCUUUGGAAGUGAGUCUUGAAUGGACUGAAGCAGCCAGAGGAACUUGGAAACUCUAACCUGGAGAAGAGCAGACUUAACAGGGGAGCACAAAGGACUCUGAUGGAAUUCUUCAUGGAAUGAGAACCAAAGCUUGAAAAGGCCAUGGAACAAUGACCACAGGUGGAGUAGUAUAAAGAUAGAAAAAGGGAAACAAUGUUCCCCUGAGGACUGAGAGGACUAUCAUCUCCCGAUCUUAUUGCAUGCUUUUAGAUGACUAAAUGCCCCUCCCAUGCUGGCUACAGAAUCAGACUUUUAGGUCAGAAGAAUCUGGUACUUAUGGCUGACUUCAACCAAAAAACCAUAUAUGAUCUUUCUUAGAGUCGUUUUUUGUUCUCAGACAUACUCUUUGUUUGAUGAUCAAAGACAUUCUCGAACCUUUCCUGCCCCGUUUCCAUCUAGUCUUGUCUUACUCACUGGCUAUAGUAGAUCUGAUAUUGGCAUUUGCGGAUAUGGUCCAAACACAAGUUUAUUUCCCCCCAAAGAUACGUUCUUCCUCCUUACUAGACUGUGGCACCACCUUUUGACUUGACUCUAAUGUAAAAAGUAAACAUUGCUAUUAUAGUCCCUUCCCUGUGCCUCUUUUAUUCCCAAGUCUUGUCAAAUUCUGCCUCCCCAUAUCUCUCAAAUUCACUUCUUUGUUCUCUCCUUCCUUCCAUGCAAAGCUUUUCCUGAUCGCCAUAGUGGUUAGGUUCUUCCCUGCUUUAAUUAUCUUAGGUUUGCUUACCCAUGUAUACCACCUUCCCCAGUAGGACGAGGACUGCUUCUCUUUUGAAUACCCGGUACCUACAAUGCUUCUUUGCAUGCAGUCUUCCAUCAAUGUGGAGGUCCCAUCACCC